GGGGUUGUGGCUCAGUGGUUGAGAGCUUGCCUAGGAUGCCUGAGGUACUGGGUUUGAUCCCCAGCACUCCA
rnacentral:tRNA from 1 species